AUUGAACGCUGGCGGCAUGCUUUACACAUGCAAGUCGAACGGCAGCGCGGGCUUCGGCCUGGCGGCGAGUGGCGAACGGGUGAGUAAUACAUCGGAACGUGCCCAGUAGUGGGGGAUAGCUCGGCGAAAGCCGGAUUAAUACCGCAUACGACCUGAGGGUGAAAGCGGGGGAUCUUCGGACCUUGCGCUACUGGAGGGGCCGAUGGUAGAUUAGCUAGUUGGUGGGGUAAAGGCCUUCCAAGGCGACGAUCUGUAGCUGGUCUGAGAGGACGACCCGCCACACUGGGAGUGAGACACGGCCCAGACUCCUACGGGAGGAAGCAGUGGGGAAUUUUGGACAAUGGGCGAAAGCCUGAUCCAGCAAUGCCGCGUGUGUGAUGAAGGCCUUCGGGUUGUAAAGCACUUUUGGCGGGAACGAAAAGGACUGUGCCAAUACCACGGUUCGAUGACGGUACCCGCAGAAUAAGCACCGGCUAACUACGUG
rnacentral:rRNA from 1 species